rnacentral:rRNA from 1 species
GGACAUGGGCGAAGCUAGAUCCAGCCAUGCCGCGUGUGUGAAGAAGCCUUCGGGUUGUAAAGCACUUUCAGCGAGGAAGAACGCUUCGGGAUUAAUACUCCCGAGGAAAGACAUACUCGCAGAAGAAGCACCGGCUAACUCCGUGCCAGCAGCCGCGGUAAUACGGAGGGUGCAAGCGUUAAUCGGAAUUACUGGGCGUAAAGCGCGCGUAGGUGGCUAAGUCAGCCAGGUGUGAAAGCCCCGGGCUCAACCUGGGAACGGCAUCUGGAACUGCUUGGCUAGAGUGCAGAGAGGAGGUAGAAUUCCCGGUGUAGCGGUGAAAUGCGUAGAGAUCGGGAGGAAUACCGUGGCGAAGGCGGCCUUCUGGACUGACACUGACCUGAGGUGCGAAAGCGUGGGUAGCAAACAGGAUUAGAUACCCUGGUAGUCCACGCCGUAAACGAUGUCAACUAGCCGUGGGUCCCUUGAGGACUUAGUGGCGCAGCUAACGCAAUAAGUGACCGUCCUGGGGAGUACGGCCGCAAGGUG